AUUUUGCAAAUGAAAAUAAUUAGCCUAAAGUAGAAACUGUGUAUUAGAGGAAACCCCCCCCCACUACUUACUUAUCCGUACUUCUCACAGAGUUCUUGGUCACCAAAGAAGGCCGACAGGGACUGGCUGGCAUGUUUUAAAUAAUGAGUGUGGUGGUGGUGGUUGAGUUUGGGAGGGCAGGCGUGAAGCAGAACUUUUGUAGUUUAUGUACAUUGUGGCCCCUUUGGGAUGAGCAGCAGCUGGGCCUACAAUUGCUUCCCCUUCCGCGGGACCCCCCUUUAGCUUCACAGACUUAGGGGUUAGCUGUGUGUGUUCAGCUUCAUGAUGAAGGGUCCUGGCUUCUGCUGGACAUCUGUGCCACCAAGACCUGACCCGAGUUUUAGCCAAUUAUUAUGGGUUCCAGCUCAGGCUUGUGGUUCCAAUUUCUUCUCUCUCCAACUGUCCAUCUUCCCUUCCCAGCUGCCCCUGGGCUUCAGUCUCCAGCAUCAGAUGCAGAGACAAACCGCUUUCAGACUACUUAACCAGCUCCCACAAAACAAAACUCAGCGUGGAGCAGUGUGCACUUGACUUCAACUGGCGAUCCAUGUUAAAGGCCCGUGUCCAGUGCGACUCUGCCUUCGUGCAUAAAGCGUUCACUGGAAAGCGACCUCAGGAUGGAUUCCCUUCACUGGAGCGUUGGAAGUCAGUGGCACUAUUUUAAAGUCCAAAAUUUCUUAAUCCUUUUUGGAAAGUUAGUAUGUUUGCAUUCACAGAUUACAAGUGAGGGAACAGACUUUGAGUAAUAUUAGGUUUAACCAUGUGAAACAGCCAGUAUUUUACUUGUUUUUGACUUACAAAAUUGGCCAUGUCAUAUGGUUCAACCAUUAUCUACUAAAAAAGGUUUUAAAAUUUAAACAAAUGUCGUUUGCGUUCAACUUUUGUGUUUAAAAAUGCAGUGAUUAUUAGGGCCGUUACUAGACUGUCUUACUCGCUACAGACAAAAUUCCUUUUGAUAAAAUCUUUAAAAAGUUACUUACUACAAACUGUAAAAACAAUGCUGCUUUUCUAUAUGGCAUUUCAAUUUUAAAGUUAAAAAAAAAUUAAACUUGGAUAAAAGCUACAAUUCCAAGUCUCAUUUUUCCCUUAAUCCCACUAAACACUAUUCAUUCAUAAGUGAAUAAAUAUACUAUUUAGUAUUGUACAGUAGAUACAUACCAUUGACAGUUUCCUAUACUAUUCCAGAAAAGGCAAAUAUUUAUAUUUCACCAAAAAUAUAAAUUUACUAGAUACAGGUGGGAGCAUUUGUUUAUCCUAAAGUUCACUGCUUUAUGCAACCCAAUUCCUAUACCCAAAAUAUGAGAAAUAAAAUUAUAUAAGAAAAAGACUUUUAGAUAAAAAUUAAACCAACUUUGACAAAUCUGAUGGCAACUAAUCACUACAAUAAUGGAUUUCACCUUACUACUAUAUUUCAAUAUGUGGAUUGAAAGGGGAAAGAACUUGAUUUGUAAAAUGAAUGAGGUAAAUGUCAUACAUUCAACAGCGUAAAUAAAUACAGAUACAGUUUUACAGGAAAACGAACAUAAGUUUAAGGGUUUUAUUAUCAAAGUCUUGUAAAACAAUUUCAGAAACUGUACAUCAACAUGGCACAGACUGUAGCCUACUUUUGUUUUUACUGCACAAAAGUGAAGCUUGAAACUCCUGUAACUAGGAAAACAGUUACCUAACUACUCUGCAUUUAACAUGGAAUCACUGUGUGCAUAAGAUUACUACUGCAGUAACAGUAACACAAAUUUAUUGGUUUUAUACAACUUGAGAUCAAAUAAAAAGUACAUUAUCAAGUAGAUCUGUCUUAUUUUAAAAGCAUAUGAAGGUCAAUUUAAAAUGCACUAUCCCCUUUUUCCAACACUGAGAUUAAAACAAAUUAAUAAAAGUGGAAACUUGAAAACCAGGACGAGAGAGAACUUUCUUUUCCAGAUGGACUCAGGACAGGCAGAUUGCUUUCACCGACGGAGAUGUGGAAUAAAUUAUUUCAGGAAAAAAAAUUCCCAAACAUCUUAUGAAAAAGUAUACAACUCUACUUCAAAAUAUGCUAUUUACUCACUGCCAAAGACAGUUUCAUUUGAAAUCUUAUUUCUGUAAAGCCUAAUUAGCCAUCAAAAAAGGUUAGUGCAUAUAUAACCUUUCAAAGUUAAACAAAAGCCACAAAAAUUUAGCCACAAGGCUUAAAGGAUUAUCUAUUUCAAAUGCUCAUUACCAGAUGUAACUAUAAGAAUGUUAAUUUGUCAUGUCAACAAAACAAGACCGUAAGUAGAUCCAUCAUGUUGGAGAAUUUUAAUGACAUUUAGGAUAUUCCUGCCACAAUUAACAUGCAAUCAGUGCAUUCCCUACAUGGCUCUAUCACGGCGAUGAAUCAAAUUCUAGAAAUACUAUAAGUGAACUUAGCUAAUAAAGGAGGUCAUACAACAGAAA